rnacentral:tRNA from 19 species
GGGGCCAUAGCUCAGCUGGGAGAGCGCUUGAAUGGCAUUCAAGAGGUCAGCGGUUCGAUCCCGCUUGGCUCCACCA